CUGGCCGUAAACGAUGGAUACUAGGUGUGGGAGGUAUCGACCCCUUCCGUGCCGGAGUUAACGCAAUAAGUAUCCCGCCUGGGGAGUACGGCCGCAAGGCUGAAACUCAAAGGAAUUGACGGGGACCCGCACAAGCGGUGGAGUAUGUGGUUUAAUUCGACGCAACGCGAAGAACCUUACCAGGGCUUGACAUUGAGUGAAAGAUCUAGAGAUAGAUUCCUGUUCUUCGGAACACACAAAAACAGGUGG
rnacentral:rRNA from 2 species